AUGGCCAUAUCCGGGGGCCUCGAUGCCAGUGCCGACUGUUCCCUGCACGCUUCCACGUCCACACCAACAUUGCAAGGCUGUGUCACUGACCGAAACAGCUACAGUGAUGACACACCUGAGGUGAACACAACUCUGGCAGCAUCCUGGCCCCUGAUGGGGCAAGUGCAUGUGGAAUCUGGAACCUUCACAGCUGAGCCUACAAAGGUGCUCAUGGCACUCAGAAGGGUUUCUGGAUCCAGUGGUAGGAAGUCAUUUCAAGCAGCUUGUGAACAUUCACAGAAGCAGCUCAGGAUCCUGCUGCUUCUUUGUCCAGCAGGCAUCAGGCCCCAGGCUGGAGGCCACAUGCCAGGCUGGCAGGAUUUGUCCACUGUAAAGCUCGACAGCCCCUCAGGCCCUGUGCUGCCCGCCCAGAUCUCCCCUGCCUCAGGAUGCCCUCCGCACCCUCCGAAUUCCCAGCCGCUGCUCUGGGGCCCGCGCGGAGGACUUGGGCCUAGCACCUCGAAGCUCCAAAGAGAACGCAGAGAAAUUCACACGCGAAUUUUGUCAGAUCGCUUCCGAGGUUGCCCUCUUUGCUGUGGCUGCCGAGUGCAGAGCGGGGCAUUCAAGUGGACAGAGUGGUGCUCGGCUUCCCUGCAUCUCCUGGGCCAUGUGUGCUGACCUGUGCCCACUGCAUUGCUCCUGUGUGCCCUGCACAUACGACUGUGUCUUUCCCGUGUAUUCAGUGCUGCUUCAUGUCUUCCAGUUCCGCUUUGUGGUUUGUGACUGA